CCUACGGGGGGCUGCAGUGGGGAAUAUUGCACAAUGGGCGCAAGCCUGAUGCAGCCAUGCCGCGUGUAUGAAGAAGGCCUUCGGGUUGUAAAGUACUUUCAGUCGUGAGGAAGGUGUUAAGGUUAAUAACCUUAGCAAUUGACGUUAGCGACAGAAGAAGCACCGGCUAACUCCGUGCCAGCAGCCGCGGUAAUACGGAGGGUGCGAGCGUUAAUCGGAAUUACUGGGCGUAAAGGGCACGCAGGCGGUUAAAUAAGUUUGCUGUGCAAUCCCCGGGCUUAACCCGGGGAAUGCAAUCAAGACUGAUUCACUGAGGUCCUGUAGAGGGGGGUAGAAUUCCAUGUGUAGCGGUGAAAUGCGUAGAGAUGUGGAGGAAUACCGGUGGCGAAGGCGGCCCCCUGGACAAAGACUGACGCUCAUGUGCGAAAGCGUGGGGAGCAAACAGGAUUAGAUACCCGUGUAGUC
rnacentral:rRNA from 1 species